rnacentral:tRNA from 1 species
GAGCCUGUCUGGCGCACAUGGGUACUGCUAAUUCCUCAUUACUGUGGUUCAAUUCCACAGCCCGCUCG